rnacentral:rRNA from 1 species
CCUACGGGAGGCUGCAGUCGAGAAUCAUUCACAAUGGGGGAAACCCUGAUGGUGCGACGCCGCGUGGGGGAAUGAAGGUCUUCGGAUUGUAAACCCCUGUCAUGUGGGAGCAAAUUAAAAAGAUAGUACCCCAAGAGGAAGAGACGGCUAACUCUGUGCCAGCAGCCGCGGUAAUACAGAGGUCUCAAGCGUUGUUCGGAAUCACUGGGCGUAAAGCGUGCGUAGGCUGUUUCGUAAGUCGUGUGUGAAAGGCGCGGGCUCAACCCGCGGACGGCACAUGAUACUGCGAGACUAGAGUAAUGGAGGGGGAACCGGAAUUCUCGGUGUAGCAGUGAAAUGCGUAGAUAUCGAGAGGAACACUCGUGGGGAAGGCGGGUUCCUGGACAUUAACUGACGCUGAGGCACGAAGGCCAGGGGAGCGAAAGGGAUUAGAUACCCGAGUAGUC